rnacentral:rRNA from 1 species
CGAGUCUUAACUGGGCGAAUAAGUUGCAGGGUAUAGACCCGAAACCCGGUGAUCUAGCCAUGGGCAGGUUGAAGGUUGGGUAACACUAACUGGAGGACCGAACCGACUAAUGUUGAAAAAUUAGCGGAUGACUUGUGGCUGGGGGUGAAAGGCCAAUCAAACCGGGAGAUAGCUGGUUCUCCCCGAAAGCUAUUUAGGUAGCGCCUCGUGAACUCAUCUUCGGGGGUAGAGCACUGUUUCGACUAGGGGGUCAUCCCGACUUACCAACUCGAUGCAAACUACGAAUACCGAAGAAUGUUAUCACGGGAGACACACGGCGGGUGCUAACGUUCGUCGUGAAGAGGGAAACAACCCAGACCGCCAGCUAAGGUCCCAAAGUCAUAGUUAAGUGGGAAACGAAGUGGGAAGGCUCAGACAGCCAGGAUGUUGGCUUAGAAGCAGCCAUCAUUUAAAGAAAGCGUAAUAGCUCACUGGUCGAGUCGGCCUGCGCGGAAGAUGUAACGGGGCUAAACUAUGCACCGAAGCUGCGGCAGCGAUAUGUAAAUAUUGUUGGGUAGGGGAGCGUUCUGUAA